AGCCCUUGAAGCUUAAGAAAGUUAGCAUACCAAAGAAGGUUACUGUAGAAGAGCUUCAAGAUAAGACCUUAAAUGAGUGUAAUGAAGCUUGUCAAGAAUAUGAAGGAUGUAAUUCUUAUGAGUACAAUGAAAAUGAUAAACUGUGUGGUCUAAGCAAUGUGAUACAGUUGACUGGUGAACUUAAACCCAACAGUGGAAAUUGGGAUGUCUAUCUCAUUAGCUCAGUUUUUGCAAAAGUUGAUUGUGGACCACCAAAAGACAUUGCUGGUGCUUCAAAGUCCUAUAAAAGCACUACCUAUAAAUCUGAAGUAACCUACACUUGUACAGAAGGAGAAAAAUUAAAAUCGAUAUGUGAAGACGACAAUAAAUGGACUCCAUUAGCAUCUACCUGUAAAGUCGCUGAGUUGCAUUUUGUGAAAAUCACACAUGCAGUUCUGGAUGUAUCCGGGAAAACAUUGGUCAAGGAAAAUGUAACCACAGAUGCCUGUGCAGAAAAAUGUUUGGCUGAUCCAAAUUGUUUAGCAUUUGAAAUAACUAAAACAGGUGGAAAAUGUUACUUAACAAAUGAAACUGCAGCAUCCACGAAGAAAAUAAAAUCAGACAAAAGCAGAGAUUAUUACCAACGAA